UAUAACGUUACUACCACUAUGUCACAGUGGUGUCUUCAGGACUUGCCUCAAAUUAAUAUUAAUGAUGUACAUCGAAUUGUUAACUCAGCCUCCGAGACUCCAGCUAGCAAGAAUGAAAAGGGGUUCAAGAUGUAUAUAGGAAGCUCCAUAGACAACUAUGAAGAUGGUGUUUCAGCACUCCGUACCAGUGAUAGUGGUCCAAAGCCACUGCUCCUGUGUUGCAGGAAGUGCUCUGUGCAAUCAUCUGGUGGCUCUUCUUUACCAGACAGCACACUACUCUCAACUAAACAUUCCUGCUGCACCACCAGUUCACAGCUGCACAGACACAGAACAGCGUUGGCACAAGCCAAGAACACUUAAGUUCUCUCUACAAAGCACUCAGUGGAUACAUGCCUGACAUGGACCUUCUCCGCGUCUCAGAAACGUAUGCCAACUUUUCUUCACUUACUGCCCCUCUUGUGACAACAAUGUAAUGUUCUAGCAUUGAUUGAUACACUCACAAAAGCUUGGAUUUCUUUCUCUGUCAGCUGACGUGGCCCUGGUUGAGUCCGCCUUUGGGCCAGUGCAAGCCGGCAGUGUUCUGUCCUAUUAGCUUCCACAGAACAAAGACCAGUGAAAUUGUGAAGAUUGCCGAUGCCCCUUCUCCACCAAUACUUCCAUUAGAUGGCAAGGCUUCAGUCUUCCCAGUGUGCUUACAUCCUUAGCCAUCAGGAGCAGUUCCACCUCAAGGCAUUCCUGACAACCUACGAGAUGUCACACAAAGUCGAGGUUGCUACAAGGGAGCAGAGCAGCAGCCCGGAAUGGCAUCAGCUCAGGAAAAUGAGAAUAACAUCCUCUCGUUUCCGAGAGGUUUGCCAUGUCCGGGGAGAGACCUCAGCUGACCACCUAGCUGAGCGGAUGGUCAAGGGAUCUGGUAUGCAGACCAUGGAGAUGAAGAGGGGGCUAGCCAUGGAGCCAGUGGCUGUACAGGAGUACUGAGUUCUUUCCGUGUGGCUUCGUAGUGCACCCAGAUGCUCCGUGGUUAGGAUCCUCUCCAGAUGGCAUCAUAUUUGAUCCCAGUGUGAGACCACACUUUGGACUCUUAGAGCUCAAGUGCCCAAAUGUACCAAGUUAUGUUGACUGCCCUUACCUGAAGAUACAGAAUGGAGAGCUGAAGUUGAAGAGAUCUCAUGCCUACUACUGGCAGGUGCAAGGUCAAAUCCUUCUCACAGGUUGUAGCUGGUGUGACUUUGUCAUCUGUGCACAGGAGGACAUCCUAGUUGAAAGGAUAUAUAAAGAUCUACAGGUUUCAAAAACUAUAAGAGAGAAGGUUGACCACUUUUAUUUUUACCACUACUUGCAGAAGUGUCUCUCGCACCUGAAUGGAUCCCCUGCAUGGGUGCCAAGUUGAGUGGUUUUAUGAAAAACAAGUAUUGAUGUUCUUGUGAAGAAAUCUACAGUAGAAUAGAUUUGUUGAAAAAAUAUAUAUUUCAGCAAAUGUUCAACAGUUCAGUUAAUCAAUUACACAUCUCUACAUUGUAUUCAAUCUUGCAUUCUGGCUAUUCUGUGUUUACUUGAUUUCUUUACCCCACCCCUGUUACUCAGUGCCUAAUUAAAGCCAAUACAAGCUCCACACAAACUGAUAUUCACUACAACACAAAUGAUUGAUACAUGUCGUAGAUAAACAAAUUAUUAUUUUGCUACUAGCAAAUAAACACAUGUACAUUUACACUGGCUUGGCCCAUGCUCUGGACCGGAUCAGAGACGGCACAGUCCAUAGGCAGCGCACCUUGUUCUUCAUCCCCCUCAGUCGGAGCAGGAGGUUUCAGUCUUCUUUCCCAAACACCAGGUCUCUUUUGAAUG